UACGGAGGGUGCGAGCGUUAUCCGGAUUUAUUGGGUUUAAAGGGUGCGUAGGCGGCUUUUUUAAGUCAGCGGUGAAAUUUUGCAGCUUAACUGUAACAGUGCCGUUGAUACUGGGGAGCUAGGAUUUGGUUGCUGUGGGUGGAAUGUGUGGUGUAGCGGUGAAAUGCUUAGAGAUCACACAGAAUAUCGAUUGCGAAGGCAGCUCACAAAGCCAAGAUUGACGCUGAGGCACGAAAGUGUGGGGAUCAAACAGGAUUAGAUA
rnacentral:rRNA from 1 species